UCUGAACCCACGCAGCUCUUUACCCACAAAUCUAUUCGAUAUUGCGGAAAUGCCCAAUAUCUUAUAUCUUUUCACAUCAAAUUCCUUCUUAGGGUUAUAGGUACACCAUAGACACCUUAAGUUUUAUCUCGGAGCUUAUGAUAGCUUACUAGGAAGUGGGGAAAUGGUGUGGAGAUGGCCUUCAAAACAAGUAAUUUUUAGGUUGUUGUUGCUACUUGGGUUGUUGGGUAUGCACUUGUUAUGAUUAAAUACAUCAAGACUCUUGGCAUGUGGCAAUAACUUCGGUCAAAUUCUCAGUUGAAUGAUGAAUGAUCCAUUGGAUGGCAUAGUACCCUCAAACAGCCUUUGUCAGACGUCAAUUUUCAAUAGCUGACUGUCUGAAAGUACUCUUCUUUGCAUGCAAUUUUGAUAGUGAG